ACAUCGGUAAGUUCAGUGAUUAGUGCAGUCUGCCGGAAACAGAAAGACGCGAGUUCGAUUCCCGUCCGAUGUU
rnacentral:tRNA from 1 species